rnacentral:lncRNA from 10 species
CCCCGCGCUGCGCCCCGCCUCCUGCCUCCGCACUUCGAGGACUUGUUUAUGAGCGCGGAGCCCCUCCACGCUGCUGCGCUCCUGCGUCCCUGGCCCUCGGGCCAGGGUGUGCCCUCAGGAGGAUGGGAUAGAGAUAAAGUGUGAACUUACAAACCUGGCAGAGAGCAGGCACCUGGGAUGCAGUGGGCUGGUGGAAGAAAGAUGGCCUCAGUACUCCCAUCGAAGUAACAGUAUGUUCCAGGAUGCAGUUGGAAAUUAGGUUGGAAUGGAUGGGAUCUAACAGGAACAGCUCUUGGAAGGAUGGGCUAUCUCAUUAGUACCUUACAACUUCCA